CUGAAUAUGACCAGCAGGGGGUGGCUAUGGUCAAAGCUAUGACCGUGCCAGCUAGACCAACCCAGAGAGCACUAAAAGAGAACCACUGACGGUCACAGUGGUGGCUCGGCUUGGCAACUUGGUAAGAGGUGCUGAUGCUGCAUGCCUUGUUGACUGCCCUGGAAAUUAUGGAAUUGUUGGUAUGGGGUCAUUGACUCCGAACUGCCUCCC
rnacentral:lncRNA from 1 species